GAUGAAGAUCGCAGCGAAAUGCGAUAAGUAAUGCGAAUUGCAGAAUUUCCGUGAGUCAUCGAAUCUUUGAACGCACAUUGCGCCCGCCAGUAUUCUGGCGGGCAUGCCUGUUCGAGCGUCAUUUCAACCCUCAGGCCCCCAGUGCCUGGUGUUGGGGAUCGGCCCAGCCUUCCUGUAAGGCCGCCGGCCCCGAAAUCUAGUGGCGGUCUCGCUGUAGUCCUCCUCUGCGUAGUAGCACAACCUCGCAGUUGGAACGCGGCGGUGGCCAUGCCGUUAAACACCCCACUUCUGAAAGUUGACCUCGGAUCAGGUAGGAAUACCCGCUGAACUUAAGCAUAUCAAUAAGCGGAGGA
rnacentral:misc_RNA from 1 species